GGGCAAGUAGCUCAGGGGUGGAGCACCUGCUUUGUAUGCAGGUCCCAGGUUCAAUCCCUGGGAUCUCCA